rnacentral:rRNA from 1 species
GUUCUUCGGAACUAGAGACCGGCGCACGGGUGCGUAACGCGUAUGCAAUCUACCUUUUACAGAGGGAUAGCCCAGAGAAAUUUGGAUUAAUACCUCAUAGUAUAUAGCCCUGGCAUCAGGAUUAUAUUAAAGUCACAACGGUAAAAGAUGAGCAUGCGUCCCAUUAGCUAGUUGGUAGGGUAACGGCUUACCAAGGCUACGAUGGGUAGGGGUCCUGAGAGGGAGAUCCCCCACACUGGUACUGAGACACGGACUAGACUCCUACGGGAGGCAGCAGUGAGGAAUAUUGGACAAUGGGCGCAAGCCUGAUCCAGCCAUGCCGCGUGCAGGAUGACGGUCCUAUGGAUUGUAAGCUGCUUUUAUACGAGAAGAAACACUCCUUCGUGAAGGAGCUUGACGGUAUCGUAAGAAUAAGGAUAGGCUAACUCCGUGCCAGCAGCCGCGGUAAUACGGAGGAUCCAAGCGUUAUCCGGAAUCAUUGGGUUUAAAGGGUCCGUAGGCGGUUUAAUAAGUCAGUGGUGAAAGCCCAUCGCUCAACGGUGGAACGGCCAUUGAUACUGUUAGACUUGAAUUAUUAGGAAGUAACUAGAAUAUGUAGUGUAGCGGUGAAAUGCUUAGAGAUUACAUGGAAUACCAAUUGCGAAGGCAGGUUACUACUAAUUGAUUGACGCUGAUGGACGAAAGCGUGGGUAGCGAACAGGAUUAGAUACCCUGGUAGUCCACGCCGUANACGAUGGAUACUAGCUGUUGGAAGCAAUUUCAGUGGCUAAGCGAAAGUGAUAAGUAUCCCACCUGGGGAGUACGUUCGCAAGAAUGAAACUCAAAGGAAUUGACGGGGGCCC